rnacentral:rRNA from 1 species
UAACGUGUGGGCAACCUGCCCUGUACUGGGGAAUAAUCAUUGGAAACGAUGACUAAUACCGCAUGUGGUCCUCGGAAGGCAUCUUCUGAGGAAGAAAGGAUUUAUUUGGUACAGGAUGGGCCCGCAUCUGAUUAGCUAGUUGGUGAGAUAACAGCCCACCAAGGCGACGAUCAGUAGCCGACCUGAGAGGGUGAUCGGCCACAUUGGGACUGAGACACGGCCCAA